AGAAUUUAUAAGUCUUUCUCAAUCGGUUCCCAAUGCAAAAAAAUAUCCUUUUGUUGUUGUUUUUGAAAUGGCGGUCUAAAGAUAUAAAAUAAAUCAUUGAAGAUAUUGUUUAUACAAAUAAAAACAUAUUUCUGGUUAGAAUAAGUUGUGUUGAAACAUUCAAUGUCACGCAAUGUCUGAAUAGCGGCAGUUGACAGUUGUGAGAUCACUUCAUUUGGACAUCUUAUUUUGACUGAGAUUUUGACAGAGUUUGUUGUUAUCACUGAC
rnacentral:lncRNA from 1 species